AGUUAGAUAACCCUUCGAGCUGCCUCGCCUAAAGAGGAAUCCAUGGCAGGCAGCCGGUAGGUCAGAAGCCUCGAGGGUGCAGGUAGAAAUGCUUGUGCCUCCCGUGCUUGGAAAGGAGGGGAAAUGGAUUUCAA
rnacentral:ncRNA from 2 species